rnacentral:rRNA from 1 species
GACGUAGGGCGCGAGCGUUGUCCGGAUUUAUUGGGCGUAAAGAGCUCGUAGGCGGCUUGUCGCGUCGACUGUGAAAACCCGCGGCUCAACUGCGGGCCUGCAGCCGAUACGGGCAGGCUAGAGUUCGGUAGGGGAGACUGGAAUUCCGGUGUAGCGGUGAAAUGACGCAGAUAUCAGGAGGAACACCGGUGGCGAAGGCGGGUCUCUGGGCCGAUGACUGA